rnacentral:rRNA from 1 species
GACAGAGGCCUCAAGCGUUAGGCGGAAUCACUGGGCUUAAAGCGUGUGUAGGCGGAUCGUUAAGUACCUUGUGAAAUCCCACGGCUCAACCGUGGAACCGCUGGGUAUACUGGUUGUCUUGAGCCGGCUAGGGGCGAGCGGAACAGACGGUGGAGCGGUGAAAUGCGUAGAUAUCGUCUGGAACGCCGAAGGUGAAAACAGCUCGCUGGGGCCGCGCUGACGCUGAGACACGAAAGCCAGGGGAGCGAACGGG